rnacentral:tRNA from 1 species
ACAUCGGUAAUCUAGUGUUAGAAUGUGUGCCUUCCAUGCAGAAGACCUGGCUUUGAUUCCCAGCCAAUGCA